rnacentral:lncRNA from 1 species
GAUAACAACAAUGAGCAAUCUUGCACUCUCAAAAGUCUGCUUAAAAUACACAAAUUCCAUCCAACACUAGAAAUAAUAGUCUUCCACUCCAACCAAUCUUGCUUCACACAAUUUUUAUAAUCAUAGACUUCUUCUAUUGAAACACACAUAACUCUUAAUUAAUAACAAUCAUAAUCUUCUAUCUAAAAUUAGUCUUCCACAGAAUUUGACAACAAACUUCUAAUAUCUUCUCAUAAUAAUUCAAUCAUAUAGUACUCUAAUUACAUACUCAAUAUCUCAUAAAUCAAUCUCUAAUUUAUUCCACAGAUUCACUUAACAAUAUUCAAAAACUAUCCAUUACUUUUCAACUACAAAGAAACAAAGAGGUAGCAUUAAGCUUACCUUGGCUCAUGA